rnacentral:lncRNA from 1 species
UUUAUUGGACCGGAUGUUUGAAUGAGCUAAAUUACACGUGUAGUAUAUUGUAUUAAGUGAGUUUACACCUCCCCAUUAGUUACUGGUCAAACAUUUAAAAACGUUGGCAUUAAAUAUCAGUUAUCUAAUUGUAUUAAUAUUGAAAAAUAACUUCUUAUCUAUUAUUCAAUUUUGGUGCAGCGGCUGCUCAUCAAUUCCUCUGCACAACUCGAACUCCGGCGACAGGGAAGACAGCAAUAGAAAAGUCUGGCGUUUAAUGGCAUGACCGACGGUUCUAUCUCAUUAUCGGGACUCCGCGUGGACUUGUAGAUGAGAUAUUAAAUUUGAAAUGCAGUUGAUUCGUUGGCUAUUGCGGUGGAGAUUGAACUGUAAUUGGAUUUCGAAAUAGACGUCGAUUCCAGUUGAGAAACUGAUGGCAGGCUCUCCCAGAUGGCGCAUACGGAAGUGCGAAGAUGGGUCCUCCGGUGCUGCAACGAUGAUGAGUCCUACAACGAUUGGUGAUUAUCAAAAGUGAUUUCGAUGGCAGCCGCGGUGCGAUCUGCGAUGUUGAUGAAACUGAAUCAGUGUU